AGAUAUGUUUGAUAUUCUUGGUUGUAUCUUUGCAUCACCCAGGAAUCAAACAUAUUACACA
rnacentral:precursor_RNA from 1 species